UCCGUUGGUGAACCUGCGGAAGGAUCAUU
rnacentral:rRNA from 1 species